GAGUGGAUGGACUGCAGAAGAUUAUGCUGCUUACAGUGAUUUUAAAAUCCUUUACAAAUGCAUUCUAAUAGAGGAAGCAGGAAGUGGCAAUGAGAGCAGCCAAAAUUCUUCUAAGCAUCCUUCUCAAAAGAGCAAGCCAGAGGAUGAUGAUAGGAGAUCUGAAGACUCUUCUAGCAGUGAACUGGGAGUUGAUGUUUGUCAAUCAUGGCACUCGUCAGAUGAUGAAGACCCCCUUGGUCCUGAGCCCAAGGUUAACUCAAAAUCAAACUUAAAGGAGCUAUAUAUUGCUUUUCUGAAAAGGAAAAAUUGUAAGCUAUUUGAAGAUUGCCUAUUGAUGUGUUAUCUGUUAGAACCUUGAGAACAGGAAUUCUGAUAGUAUGAAGCUGUGGUUGAAAGCCUUCCCACAACGUCAGGCAAAGUCCAGGGCUUUUUUCAUCCUGCCUUUCCAUCACCUGACCCUCUUCUGAAACCGUCUCUCAAGUCUUUAACAAACCCUGGUCUUACAAAGGAAGGACGAAAAAAGCCAACACCUGGAAAAAAAGUAAUAUGGUAUUGGUAUUAUUGAAAGUGCUCCUUGAGAGCAAAUAAAUAAUGACAGUUUUAUUUUCGUGUAAAAAACUAAUAGAGGUGGUAAGUUAGUAGUGAUUAUCUCUGAAAAUAUUUCUAUGCUUAAAUGCUGUUAUAAAAAAUCAAUUCAUGUGUGUAGACUAAAUAUAAUAUCCAUUUAUUUUAAAUACUUCUCUUUUACUGUUUUUCUAUAUACUACUGACUUCUUCCUGAAACUGCUUCAACCCUCUGAAAAUUCUUUCUUGCUAUUAAUUUUAUUUCAUUAAAAUCUUCAUGAGUGGAGAUAGACUUGUAUAUAUAUUUAAAAUUCAUAGUAAUAAGUGUCUCAUAAACGUGUCUGUGAAUAACCUUCUAUAGAUAUAUCAGGAGAAGAGGAAAAUAUAAAAUUUCCAUUGGAACCUGAGAAUCUCUCCGAGCAUCUCCCGCCAACACCUGUUGUUCCUUUCGCUGAGGAUGCAGAUCAAGAAGGAGAAAAUACAGUAAAUGAAGAGGUAGAAGGACAAAUUGAAGAACAUGAUAAAUACCUGUACUAUAAUGGUAUAAAUGAUUCUGAAGGGGGUGUAUUACAGAGCCUCCCAAGGAAGAUCUUCCUUUGAAGCCUACAAUAGAAGUGAAAGAUUCUGUUGUGGAUGAAGCAGUAGGAAUGAAGAAUGUAGAAGAAUCCCCUUCAGAACAAGAUUUGGAAGUGACAUCAGAGCAAAAGCAAUAAAGGCUUGAAGGAAGUGAAAAUAACCAGCGUCGGGAGAAAGUUUAAACACAUGUACCCUGACAGAAAAGACAUCUGAGAAACAGAAGUCCAUUAAUGGCCCACUUUUGCAUCUGCAAAAAUUGUCUCCAGAACCAGAACUGAAUAAGGAUUGUGACAGAGAAGUUGUAUCUAGAUAGCCAGCACUUCAUGCUGUGCAAAAGUCUGAGGAAAUGUCAGUCAAACCAGGCAAAGUAGAGAGGAAAAGUAAUUCAGAACUCAUCACAAAUGAGAUGAAGCAGAGUUUUGCUGAAAUUUGUGAAAAAUACAAACUUCUUGGUUGUUCUGAUGAGGAGCCUCUGCAAGAGAACUCUGAAGGAGCAACAAACCAAAAGGAAAUACUCCCUAACUUGACAGAUCGCAUGCUCGAUUAUAAGAAAAAGGAUGCAUCUAAAGUGCCGAUCUCUGGAGAAAUCCAGGCACUUCCUGAAAAGAUCCCCGUCUCAAAAAUGACUUUCCAUGUCAGUCAUACUCUGGGUCCUCGGAAUAUGCUAAGAAAUACACAAGCAUGGACCCUGGAUUGGAGAAUGUGAUUUCUUCUCCAUCACAUAGUGACAAAAUAUCAGAAAUACGUCUAGAGGAAGAAUUACAGCAAGACAUGCAAACAUUUAAGAAUGAGGUGGGCAUGUUACAAGCAGAGCUUUUGUGGCUCUGGAGAAAGAAAAAGUUCCACUUCAAAAAGAGGUUAAAGAAGAAAAGAAGCACAAAAGUAAUGAAAUGGUGGCAUCAGAAAACCUCUACGAUGGUGCUGCUGAUAACAGUGCCGAGGAUGGGGUAAUUCAAGAAAGAAAGAGUGGAAAACCUGACCGUCAGCACUUUCCUAGGAAGGAGAAUAAAGAGUCUGAUAGAUUAAUGGUCUUAAAGCAGAACUAGAAGUGGUAUCUCCAAAAUCUCUAUGUCUGCAUACCAGGAAUCAAGUUCUUUAACAACAGUCAUUACCUAUGAAAACGAUACAAAAGAAAUAUGAAGAACUAAAGAAGAAUAAUAAGUUGGAACAGGAAGUGACACAAGCAGAAUCACAAGAAGACUUAGAGUGGCUAAGACACAAUCAUACUGCUCCAAGAAGUCAGCUCAAAUGCAGGACUAAAGAUUUGAAAUCUGCUCUUUCCAAAAAGAAACCUCAAAAAGACUUUAAUGAAAACAAAUUGGAAAUGCUAAGCAGCGCUAUCUUAAAAGAAUUAAUACUUAGAAAAUUUUUGUCCAAUGAACUAAACAAUCUUCACAGAGUUAAUGAGACGCUAGCAGAGGUCAAGACCAACCGUCUGGGGGAGAAACAGAAGACCGGAUCUGUAUCUGCUAGUCCUGCUAUGAGGCCAGUCCUGCAGUCACCUUGGGUUGCAAAUCUUAAUGAACUUCAGCUCUCAAAAGAAAAUUUAUUCCAGGGGAGAACAUAGUGAUCCCUGCCUCAAGCCCAGAGACUACAAAUAACAGCCUAGUGAACAGCUUGACCAAGAAAUGUUCAGUUUCUCCUGGGCUAUUGCUGUACACACUCCAAAACCCAUUGAUGGCAGCCGCUGCCUCCCACAACUGAAUAGGACAGUGAUUAAUGUCACCAAGACUUUUUUUUCCUCCCUUCUCCAUCCAUUAUCUGAAGUCAUUCAACUGGACACAAGAAUUAUGAAUUUUUAUUGAGGGAAAUAUGAGGAAUGUGUGAGAUUUAAUGGGAAAGUAGGAAUAAAAUGAAAGAAACUUUUAAAACAUCAUUUAAUAUGUGCCAGUUUUCACUUGUCAAUAUCAGCAAAACCACCCCAGCCUCCCACCAGCCAGAACAAAACUGAGGGAUCAACACUCCAGACCCUUUUCCUCGACUUCUGGGUGCCACUCCCAGAGCAGCUGCCUCCCAGUGUUCUGAGUCUGUCCCUUUUCCCUCUGAGCUUUUACAUCUGACCUGGUAACUGUUUCCCAAAGGCAGUUGCCCUCGGCAGUCCUUUAUGUCAUAAAGAAUCCAAGGGUCAGUGAAAGGCUGGAAGAGGAUUGAUGUGGGGGGAGCCCCUCCAGGGUUGGAAUAGAGGCACCAACUUCUACCCUGUACUCUUGAAGAGUUAGGGGGAAAGGGACCUCUACUAAACUUGCGAUACAGAAUGUAUUCUCUAGAGAGCUAAGACUUAUUCAGUACAAACGUAAGCACUCUGUCAAGAACAGUAUUUCAUAUUUAUCUAAGUAAAAUAUACAUAUGGAAGUAGUUGUGGCUGGGGUAUAAAGAAGUAAUAGAAUCUGUCACCCAUGAUAAGUAAAUAUUUAGGAGAAGUGCUUUUGGGGGAAA